UAAGGAAUAUUGGACAAUGCCCGCAAGGGUGAUCCAGCCAUGCCGCGUGCAGGAAGACGGCCCUAUGGGUUGUAAACUGCUUUUACACCAGAGAAAACCCCCCUUCGUGAAGGGGGCUGAUAGUAUGGUGAGAAUAAGCAUCGGCUAACUUCGUGCCAGCAGCCGCGGUAAGACGAAGGAUGCAAGCGUUAUCCGGAUUCAUUGGGUUUAAAGGGAGCGUAGGUGGUCUUAUAAGUCAGUGGUGAAAUCUCCUCGCUUAACGAGGAAAUUGCCAUUGAUACUGUAGGACUUGAGUACAGUUGCUGUGGGCGGAAUAUGACAUGUAGUGGUGAAAUACAUAGAGAUGUCAUAGAACACCGAUUGCGAAGGCAGCUCACAAAACUGUAACUGACACUGAGGC
rnacentral:rRNA from 1 species